GGUGGUGACAGAGCAAAGGAAGAAAGGAGAGAGGGAGAGGGGAGCAGAUACUUGGGAACACAUCAGAGCAGGACAGACAGUUGAGUGUGAGGCGCUCAGCCGGCGAAGGACGCGGAGCAGGAAGGUGCAGGCGAUGUCGUGGGUUUCGUUUGUGGGUUCAGGGUGCAGGAUGACGGCUGCUAAGCUCCUCGUUCCUUUCCUUGUUCUCCAAUCAUUUUGUGAAGGCUCCAAUCAGCCACCACGCUUCCUGAACUACUUUUUUUCAACAUAUCUCCUCAUAUAUGAAGACAUGCCCAUUGGUGAGUCAGU